rnacentral:rRNA from 2 species
UGAGGAAUAUUGCACAAUGGAGGAAACUCUGAUGCAGCAACGCCGCGUGGAGGAUGACGCAUUUCGGUGUGUAAACUCCUUUUAUUAGGGAAGAUAAUGACGGUACCUAAUGAAUAAGCACCGGCUAACUCCGUGCCAGCAGCCGCGGUAAUACGGAGGGUGCAAGCGUUACUCGGAAUCACUGGGCGUAAAGGGUGCGUAGGCUGGCUUCUAAGUCAGAUGUGAAAUCCAAUGGCUCAACCAUUGAACUGCAUUUGAAACUGGGAGCCUAGAGUUCAGAAGGGGCAGAUGGAAUUAGUGGUGUAGGGGUAAAAUCCGUAGAUAUCACUAGGAAUAUCAAAAGCGAAGGCGAUCUGCUGGGAUGAUACUGACGCUGAGGCACGAAAGCGUGGGGAGCAAACAGG